rnacentral:lncRNA from 1 species
AUUUCAGGUACAGCCUCCAUGAAAGCCAAGUGGGAUGAUCAGUCCCUCUUUUCAGGCAGGAAGAGGAAGCCUAGGAGUAGGGGCACAUGGUCAUUCACAGGCAUUCCCAGGCAUGUUCCUCUGUCCCAGGAUGCUGGUUGGAGUGGAGAAGGUGGAGGAGAGCUCCUGGAACAGCCCCUCAGACACAUCCACCUUUGUCUUUGGACUUUACAUUUCCAAAUUUGGUCUGUCUUUCAAACUGAGAGGUCAUAGCACCUUUGGCAUCCUUGGACUAGGUAAAUGACUUCAAAGACACAGUCCUUUCCAAUUUGUUGUCCCAUGUCCAGUCGUACAUUAUGCUUUGUACUACCUGACUCUGUAAACCAUUUCAAAAGCAAACUAGUGAUUGGUGAAAUGCUGUAGCAGUCACUGUCCUAACUCUGUCUUACCUUGCCGUCCUUAGCACCAUCUAUUCCCACGUCCAUUACUGCUAGGCAAGUGGUCCCCUAACCCCGCUUACUUUAUGUCCCUUCUGUG